rnacentral:rRNA from 1 species
GUGCCAGCAGCCGCGGUAAUACGUAGGGUCCAAGCGUUAAUCGGGAUUACUGGGCGUAAAGCGUGCGCAGGCGGUUGUGCAAGACCGAUGUGAAAUCCCCGAGCUUAACUUGGGAAUUGCAUUGGUGACUGCACGGCUAGAGUGUGUCAGAGGGGGGUAGAAUUCCACGUGUAGCAGUGAAAUGCGUAGAGAUGUGGAGGAAUACCGAUGGCGAAGGCAGCCCCCUGGGAUAACACUGACGCUCAUGCACGAAAGCGUGGGGAGCAAACAGGAUUAGAUACCCUGGUAGUCCACGCCCUAAACGAUGUCAACUAGUUGUUGGGGAUUCAUUUCCUUAGUAACGUAGCUAACGCGUGAAGUUGACCGCCUGGGGAGUACGGUCGCAAGAUUAAAACUCAAAGGAAUUGACGGGGACCCGCACAAGCGGUGGAUGAUGUGGAUUAAUUCGAUGCAACGCGAAGAACCUUACCAGG